rnacentral:rRNA from 1 species
GACGAACGCUGGCGGCGUGCUUAACACAUGCAAGUCGAACGGAAAGGCCCUGCUUUUGUGGGGUGCUCGAGUGGCGAACGGGUGAGUAACACGUGAGUAACCUGCCCUUGACUUUGGGAUAACUUCAGGAAACUGGGGCUAAUACCGGAUAGGAGCUCCUGCUGCAUGGUGGGGGUUGGAAAGUUUCGGCGGUUGGGGAUGGACUCGCGGCUUAUCAGCUUGUUGGUGGGGUAGUGGCUUACCAAGGCUUUGACGGGUAGCCGGCCUGAGAGGGUGACCACCCACAUUGGGACUGAGAUACGGCCCAGACUCCUACGGGAGGCAGCAGUGGGGAAUAUUGCACAAUGGGCGGAAGCCUGAUGCAGCAACGCCGCGUGCGGGAUGACGGCCUUCGGGUUGUAAACCGCUUUCGCCUGUGACGAAGCGUGAGUGACGGUAAUGGGUAAAGAAGCACCGGCUAACUACGUG